rnacentral:lncRNA from 1 species
UUUUUUUUGAGAUGGAGUCUUGCUCUGCUGCCCAGGUUGGAGUGCAGUGCCAUGAUCCUGGCUCACUGCAACUUCCACCUUAGCGAUUCUCCUGCCUCAGCCUCCCAAGUAGCCGGGAUUACAGGCACAUGCCACCAUGUCCCGGCAAAGCCUGCUUUCUACAAAAAAUAUGCUUGAGCCCAGGAAGCGGAGGUUGCAGUGAG